rnacentral:tRNA from 1 species
GGAGGGGUGGCGGAGUCGGUCGAUCGCGUUCGUCUUGAAAACGAAAAGCCCUUUAACAAGGCUCGUGGGUUCGAAUCCCACCCCCUACGCCA